rnacentral:rRNA from 1 species
AGAGUUUGAUCAUGGCUCAGAACGAACGCUGGCGGCAUGCCUAAUACAUGCAAGUCGAACGGGAUGGGGCAACCUAUCUAGUGGCGGACGGGUGAGUAACGCGUGGGAACCUGCCCAUCGGUGCGGAAUAACCUCGGGAAACUGAGGCUAAUACCGCAUGCGCCCAAGGGGUGACUUUUGGGGAAAGAUUUAUCGCCGGUGGAGGGGCCCGCGUCGGAUUAGGUCGUUGGUGAGGUAACGGCUCACCAAGCCUUCGAUCCGUAGCUGGUCUGAGAGGAUGAUCAGCCACACUGGGACUGAGACACGGCCCAGACUCCUACGGGAGGCAGCAGUAGGGAAUAUUGGACAAUGGGGGCAACCCUGAUCCAGCAAUGCCGCGUGAGUGAUGAAGGCCUUAGGGUUGUAAAGCUCUUUUGGCGGGGACGAUGAUGACGGUACCCGCAGAAUAAGCCCCGGCUAACUUCGUGCCAGCAGCCGCGGUAAU